UACGUAGGGGGCAAGCGUUGUCCGGAAUCAUUGGGCGUAAAGAGCGUGUAGGCGGCCCGGUAAGUCUGUUGUGAAAGUCCAGGGCUCAACCCUGGAAUGCCGAUGGAUACUGCCGGGCUAGAGUUCGGAAGAGGCGAGUGGAAUUCCUGGUGUAGCGGUGGAAUGCGCAGAUAUCAGGAGGAACACCUGCGGUGUAGACGGCUUACUGGACCAUAACUGACGCUGAGGCACGAAAGCGUGGGGAGCAAACAGG
rnacentral:rRNA from 1 species